CGAGCAAGGAUGAAAAUCGGACUUAGUGAUCCGGUGGUUCUGCGUGGAAGGGCCAUCGCUCAACGGAUAAAAGCUACCCUGGGGAUAACAGGCUUAUCUCCCCCAAGAGUCCACAUCGACGGGGAGGUUUGGCACCUCGAUGUCGGCUCAUCACAUCCUGGGGCUGUAGUAGGUCCCAAGGGUUGGGCUGUUCGCCCAUUAAAGUGGUACGCGAGCUGGGUUCAGAACGUCGUGAGACAGUUCGGUCCCUAUCCGUCGCAGGCGUAGGAAAUUUGAGAAGACCUGUCCUUAGUACGAGAGGACCGGGAUGGACGUACCUCUGGUGUACCAGUUGUCCUGCCAAGGGCAUGGCUGGGUAGCUAUGUACGGAAUGGAUAAGCGCUGAAAGCAUCUAAGCGCGAAGCCAACUUCAAGAUAAGAUUUCCCACCGCAAGGGUAAGACCCCAGAAAGACUAUCUGGUUGAUAGGUCGAAGGUGUAAGUGCAGCAAUGUAUUUAGCUUAUCGAUACUAAUAGGUCGAGGACUUGACCAAU
rnacentral:rRNA from 1 species